rnacentral:rRNA from 1 species
GAUGAACGCUGGCGGCGUGCCUAAUACAUGCAAGUCGAACGAGAUCUUCGGAUCUAGUGGCGGACGGGUGAGUAACACGUUGGUACCUACCCCGAAGUGGGGAAUAACUGCCCGAAAGGGUGGCUAAUACCGCAUAAUACCGCAAGGUUAAAGCAUUUAUGCGCUUCGGGAGGGGCCUGCGUCCCAUUAGCUAGUUGGUAGGGUAAUUGCCUACCAAGGCGACGAUGGGUAGCUGGAUCGAGAGGUUGACCAGCCACACUGGGACUGAGAUACGGCC